rnacentral:rRNA from 1 species
UACAGAGGUCUCAAGCGUUGUUCGGAUUCAUUGGGCGUAAAGGGUGCGUAGGCGGCGCGGUAAGUCGGGUGUGAAAUCUCGGAGCUUAACUCCGAAACUGCAUUCGAUACUGCCAUGCUUGAGGACUGGAGAGGAGACUGGAAUUUACGGUGUAGCGGUGAAAUGCGUAGAUAUCGUAAGGAAGACCAGUGGCGAAGGCGGGUCUCUGGACAGUUCCUGGACGGCUGAGGCACGAAGGCCAGGGGAGCAAACGGG